ACUGACGUUCAUGCCCGAAAGCGUGGGUAGCAAACAGGAUUAGAUACCCUGGUAGUCCACGCCCUAAACGAUGUCAAUUAGCUGUUGGGCAACUUGAUUGCUUAGUAGCGUAGCUAACGCGUGAAAUUGACCGCCUGGGGAGUACGGUCGCAAGAUUAAAACUCAAAGGAAUUGACGGGGACCCGCACAAGCGGUGGAUGAUGUGGAUUAAUUCGAUGCAACGCGAAGAACCUUACCUGGUCUUGACAUGUACGGAAUCCUCCAGAGACGGAGGAGUGCCUUCGGGAGCCGUAACACAGGUGCUGCAUGGCUGUCGUCAGCUCGUGUCGUGAGAUGUUGGGUUAAGUCCCGCAACGAGCGCAACCCUUGUCAUUAGUUGCCAUCAUUCAGUUGGGCACUCUAAUGAGACUGCCGGUGACAAGCCGGAGGAAGGUGGGGAUGACGUCAAGUCCUCAUGGCCCUUAUGACCAGGGCUUCACACGUCAUACAAUGGUCGGUACAGAGGGUAGCCAAGCCGCGAGGUGGAGCCAAUCUCACAAAACCGAUCGUAGUCCGGAUUGCACUCUGCAACUCGAGUGCAUGAAGUCGGAAUCGCUAGUAAUCGCAGGUCAGCAUACUGCGGUGAAUACGUUCCCGGGUCUUGUACACACCGCCCGUCACACCAUGGGAGUGGGGGAUACCAGAAGUAGGUAGGAUAACCGCAAGGAGUCCGCUUACCACGGUAUGCUUCAUGACUGGGGUGAAGUCGUAACAAGGUAGCCGUAGGGGAACCUGCGGCUGGAUCACC
rnacentral:rRNA from 1 species